GUGCUCUUUUUCUAGCAUGUAUACUUAAAUUAGAGUGAUCCUAAGAAGAUUAGCUCGGCUCCUGAACAAAGAUGACAUGUGCAUUUUGUGAAGCAUCCCAUAUUUUU
ensembl:snRNA U6 U6 spliceosomal RNA